GACGAACGCUGGCGGCGUGCUUAACACAUGCAAGUCGAACGGAAAGGCCCUGCUUUUGUGGGGUGCUCGAGUGGCGAACGGGCGAGUAACACGUGAGUAACCUGCCCUUGACUUUGGGAUAACUUCAGGAAACUGGGGCUAAUACCGGAUAGGAGCCCCUGCUGCAUGGUGGGGGUUGGAAAGUUUCGGCGGUUGGGGAUGGACUCGCGGCUUAUCAGCUUGUUGGUGGGGUAGUGGCUUACCAAGGCUUUGACGGGUAGCCGGCCUGAGAGGGUGACCGGCCACAUUGGGACUGAGAUACGGCCCAGACUCCUACGGGAGGCAGCAGUGGGGAAUAUUGCACAAUGGGCGGAAGCCUGAUGCAGCAACGCCGCGUGCGGGAUGACGGCCUUCGGGUUGUAAACCGCUUUCGCCUGUGACGAAGCGUGAGUGACGGUAAUGGGUAAAGAAGCACCGGCUAACUACGUG
rnacentral:rRNA from 1 species